rnacentral:rRNA from 1 species
UACGAAGGGGGCUAGCGUUGCUCGGAAUCACUGGGCGUAAAGGGUGCGUAGGCGGGUCUUUAAGUCAGGGGUGAAAUCCUGGAGCUCAACUCCAGAACUGCCUUUGAUACUGAGGAUCUUGAGUACGGGAGAGGUGAGUGGAACUGCGAGUGUAGAGGUGAAAUUCGUAGAUAUUCGCAAGAACACCAGUGGCGAAGGCGGCUCACUGGCCCGAUACUGACGCUGAUGCACGAAAGCGUGGGGAGCAAACAGG